GAGCACAGUGUUCUGAGUAAGGAGAUGCCUGGUUCUGUCCUGCCUGAUGCUGCCUGGGGCACCAGGCUUCUCUGCUGUGUGACCCUUUGUCUCCUGGGGAUAGGUUCAGUGCAUGCUGGAGUCAUCCAGUCCCCAAGACACCUAAUCAAAAGAGAGGGGGGACAGGCCAUUCUGAAAUGCCAUCCUGUCUCUGGCCAUGACACUGUGUACUGGUACCAGCAGGCUCUGGGUCAGGGCCUCCAGUUCCUCAUUUCGUAUUAUGAAAAGAAGCAGAAUGAAAAAGGAAACUUCCCUAGUCGAUUCUCAGCUCAGCAGUUCAGUGACUACCACUCUGAGCUCAACAUGAGCUCCUUGGAGCUGAAGGACUCAGCCUCGUAUCUCUGUGCCAGCAUCUCGGGCACAGCCCUGCAGACUUAG